AUAAUGUGCAACUCGAGACCCCAUACACCCAACCUUCGGGUAGUGGUCAUAUCACCUCUUAUCUUACAACUCCGAUUCUCAACCUCCCCGUGGUGCUGGCUGGGGUGCGAAAAACCUUAGCGAAGAUCGGGUUCCCAACCCCGGUGGAUGCUUUGGUCGCAUGCUAACUGAGAUAGGGGGCUCCUUACGCGUAGGCUUACCAGAAUGAAAUACAGCAAAGUAGGACUUUCGAUGGGAAAAAGAAGGACGGGUGAGUACAAAUUUGGAAAAAUAACUGGUACUCCACAUAAAUAUCAUAGGAACAUUUUAUAACAUUUUUGUAAUCUUAUUUUCAUCACAAAUUCUGGAAUAUUUUGACGUCCUGAUCUCGAAUAUUAUAUUUAAAGCAUCUUUUCCAAAUUUUCAAACAAUCAAAGCUUACCUCCGAGGGGUGAUGACUGGAACACUUGAAAAAAAUAAAAGCGACAGACAAACAAUUUCCUACAAGAAGAGCAACAAAUGCGGUUAGAAUUUGGUACAUUUUCGGUUCGACUUCCAUCGACUUUUUUUUUGUAAAGCAAGGGCAAAACGAAAAAAUGCGACAACUUCCAUUUAUUUUUUCCCGUUCUGGUGUAAACUAAUAGUUCGCUGAUAAUAUGUUGCAAAUUAGUAUUUUUCCAAUAGUUUUGAUAUCUAACCGUUUACUCUUAAGAGCAAGUUCACUGGUGUUGGGAAAAAGUGGUAGAAAUUUUGACAUUAUGAAAAUUUUACCAUGCAAAAACGUUUUCAAGAUCUUGCGGCGAUGUAUUUUUUUACAACACUGUUUCUAUUUCAGCCGUAUGUGAUAAAAUAUUGCUAUUUUUGCAUCACAGCAUGCGAAAAUCCAACACGUGUUGUAUAAAAACUAGAAGGCCACAGAUCUUGAAAAUGUUUUUGUAUGGCAAAAUUUUCAAAAUGUGCCGUAAGCCCGUAAGUGUCAAAAUGUCUACCACUUUUUCCCAACACCAGUGAACUUGCUCUAAGGAAUAAAUAAACCGUAAUCCUAGACAAAAUAUUCGAACAGUUAAAUCGAAGCCACCAUUUGUGUUUUUAUUUAUUAGCAAUAAAAUCGCUAAGAUCACUCAUAUUUUCUUUUUUCAUUGUUCUUUUUUGUAUUCCCUUUACGGUUGGAUUGGCCAUCAAUUGGAUCGUCGGAACUGAGCGCUGUCUGCUCAAAAGACCGAUGACUAGAUUAAGACUGAGAUGACUAGCGGCAGCUUUUCGGAUUCCAGUUCCAGUAAUAGGAGCUCCAGCGGAAGUUAAUCUGGGGUUUCAGUAGCGGUUUGUGCCGUUUUUCCAGUCCGGGAAGUGUCAACAUCUUCAACGUCAUAAUCACGUUCACGUCUCUGUCACCAUCAUAAAAUAACCAGGAUUGCCAGGAAGGAAAGAAACGAGCUUGGUGGAGUCAUUCGAAGGCUGCAGCUCUGAGCCCUAAUCUGACCGGAAGAAGGUGUUGCGGUGGACUACAAAUGUUAUGGAAUUUCCCGCUGCGAAUGAUAGCAACGUAUCAAUGCUAACGGGGCCAAAACAUUCAUGAAGUUGAUACCGAUCCAAAAAGUGGUGCUGAUGGUCAGUCCAAGUCACUGGGAUUUGGAGAGAAUAUCUCAGUUUCUCAGCGCCGUUUUCCCCCUUCCUGGGAAUUGAGUUUCAUACAACCUAUUGUAGGAAUGCCAGGACACCUCCCUCCCAUCCCCAGCUAAACAGCUGAAACCUGAAGUUUUCUGCAAUUAGGAAUUUCAAUGGACCCGGAUGGACAAAUCCAACAACCAAGAUAAUUGUAAUCGAGUACUCAAUGUUGAACAACUGCAAAUCAUUCCGUUGGUUCAACAAUCAACAGCGAACCCUGUUUGACUUCUACCACAACUUGCACGAAUUCUGUUCCGUUCCUGAGGAAAGCAGCUGCUCACAUAAGAAGGAAUUGACGUGACCUAGCGAGGAACAUAAGUUGAAACAAAUCCGGUGGCCAAAUCAGAUUUUACAGAGUCUCGGUAGGAUGGCAAAAGAUCGCAAUGUGUCUUUCUGCCUAAUCUAACAUCAAACCAGAAAACCUUUAUUAUGGAAAUGUUAAUGAUUCCAAAACCGCGUGCGAUUUCUCUACAGAACGUCCACCCGUGGUUUAGUGAUGACCUAAAGUAUUAGGGAGAUACAUCAGUAAUAUCAGACUGGCUCUUACUCUGGUCUACCAUGGGAUAGGAAAAUAUCUUACUAAUGGAUGGACGUCUCCCAGAAACAUAUCUAUGACAAAAAAAACCGUCUCAGAAAAUACAACUGAAGGUAGGCAUGACUUUCCAUCCAUCUUCGAGCUUGAAAACCAUACUGACGUUGCAAUUCUCUUGGUUAAGGGAAAUAGUUGCGGCAAAUAGAUGAUUUCACCGAAUAAAUCGUUGGAACUAUUGGGGACGGAAAAACUGACUACCAAGCAAUGCCGAAAAAAUCUUUGUAACCUAAUCAAAUCACUAUAGGUUGGUUUUUUACAUCGAUUUGAACUAGUCGAGUAACCCCAGAAGCAACAAAAGUUGGAAAGUGAUAGCAAAGCAGUGCAGAACCCGAAUCCAUGUUAGCACAAGAAGUACGUCGACGGACUCUUAUUAAGGUUGACAGAAGGAGCAAAAAUUCCAAAUCUGGCAUCACCCGUGGCUUCCUGAUGGAAGAAAACAGAUGCGGCCAAGGAGUCAAUCCACCGAAAAAUCUUCGGCACAAGCAAUUCAUUGAGUGUAAUUUCGAGAUAAUUGCUGGACGAUGCUGAGUGAAAAUAGUCGAAAAUAUUGUUUUGACUAAGAUGAAAAUAUUUUAGCAAUAAUAUGGCAGGCUGGGCAUUCAGAAUCAGGAAUAUUUGAAGCACUAUUAAAUAGGAUUUGGACUAUCGUUUUUCGUAAACGCCAAAAACAAAGAAACGUUAAUAACUGAGUUACGAUGUUUUGAGAGAUGCUUCUCUGUUAAAGGAAUAAUAUGGGUAUCGGAUGGCGAAAAAUUCCCAUAAAAAACUAUCAAAAUCUAUACAUUUUCACAAGUUAACUUGGAAAAAAAAACAGUGAUGCUGAGCAACUCGGUCGAGACAGAUUCAGACUGAAGGACAUAGAUUCAGAAUUUCUUACUAAGUCCUUAUUACCAAGCAAAUAAUUUGAGUCCAAAGGAUAGGUUUUAAUUAUUGCUGGGUUGAUACCUACAAAUAAGUUACAAAAUUGU